UACGUAGGGUGCAAGCGUUGUCCGGAAUUAUUGGGCGUAAAGAGCUCGUAGGCGGUUUGUCGCGUCUGCUGUGAAAACGCGAGGCUCAACCUCGCGCCUGCAGUGGGUACGGGCAGACUAGAGUGUGGUAGGGGAGAUUGGAAUUCCUGGUGUAGCGGUGAAAUGCGCAGAUAUCAGGAGGAACACCAAUGCGAAGGCAGCUCGCUGGGAC
rnacentral:rRNA from 1 species